UCAGAAGGAACACUUUCCUGUUUAUUUUUUCCCAAGCCUGGAAUCUGAGCAGACAUCCUCUGUUAUUUACAAUUUCUGCAUGACAGUAUUCUACUGCAGUUUGGUGCAUCAGGCAGAGCUUUGCGCCAGGAGUUAGGAGGAUUGGGCUCUAUCUCCAACUUCUGCCACUAACUUGCUAUGUGACCUUGGAAGCCGGACAUCUUUCCCCAUGAUCUGCUCUGGGAGGAACUGGAAAGAGAGACAGUAUGGGACCCUUGAAUAUUAAUAGAAAAAUUGGAUGAAGAAGAGAAAGUUUCAGAUGCUAAUACUACAUUGUGAGAGGUUUGUGGAAUUUGGCAUUAAGGAAGAGUCCUGGUGCUUGAAAAGAUUAAGAACCACUGACCUAACCCAAUCCCUUCAUUUUACAGAUGGGCACUCUGAAGCCCCCAGAGAUUAUUUUCCUGCUUGGAAGGAAGAAAGAUACGAACUCUACCAGUUUUUAGAGGAUGACAGUCCUCAGAUGCAUGAGAAAUAGCCUUGGGAGCUGGAGGACAGGAGGAGAUCUGAAGAUGGUGGAUGUAAUUAACACUGAUGCAGAGAGCAAGAGGAAGGGAACUCGGAGGCCAUCUGGUCCAGUCUCCUUAUUUUACAGCCCCACGGUAGAAGCUGCACAAGAGAAGACACUAUGACUAACUGAGGAACCAAGAUUUCUCACUGGGCCCUAAAAUCUUGUGGUGCCAUUUGUGGAGGAGAGAACUAUGAAUCUUUGCCUUCAGUGACCACCCCUACCACCCUCACUCCUUUCCAUAUGGUUUACCAGUGUGCAAAUGACCCUAGAAUAGGUUUGUAAAAAAAAUUAAAAGUGGGAUAGGAGAUGCAUAGGACCCCAUUCUUGCCUGGCACACAUCAGAGGCUUUAGGCACGUUGUCUACCUACACACUAGGUUUGCUUCAGGACCUGGAAGAAGAGACCUGGAGAACAACGGAGGUGUCCCUGGAAAUCAGUGAGGGAAGCCAAACCAUGGCUGUUCCCAAGGACUCUCUUAAGUCUUUCUUGGGAACGUGUGAGACAAAUGGAUUCUCCUCCUUCCUCCCCACUGUCUUCCCCACCAUCCUGCCUAAGCUUCC